rnacentral:rRNA from 1 species
AUUGAACGCUGGCGGCAUGCCUUACACAUGCAAGUCGAACGGUAACAGGUCUUCGGAUGCUGACGAGUGGCGAACGAGUGAGUAAUACAUCGGAACGUGCCUAGUAGUGGGGGAUAACUACUCGAAAGAGUGGCUAAUACCGCAUGAGAUCUACGGAUGAAAGCAGGGGAUCGCAAGACCUAGUGCUACGAGAGCGGCCGCUGGCAGAUUAGAUAGUUGGUGGGAUAAAAGCUUACCAAGCCGACGAUCUGUAGCUGGUCUGAGAGGACGAUCCGCCACACUGGGAGUGAGAAACGGCCCAGACUCCUACGGGAGGCAGCAGUGGGGAAUUUUGGACAAUGGGCGCAAGCCUGAUCCAGCAAUGCCGCGUGCAGGAUGAAGGCCUUCGGGUUGUAAACUGCUUUUGUACGGAACGAAAAGCCCCGGGUUAAUACCCUGGGGUCAUGACGGUACCGUAAGAAUAAGCACCGGCUAACUACGUGCCAGCCGCCGCCGUAA